CUCACCAAGGCGACGAUGCGUAGCCGACUGAGAGGGUGAUCGGCCACACUGGGAUUGAGACACGGCCCAGACUCCUACGCGAGGCAGCAGUAGGGAAUCUUCAGCAAUGGACGAAAGUCUGACGGAGCAACGCCGCGUGAGUGAUGAAGGUUUUCGGAUCGUAAAGCUCUGUUGUUAGGGAAGAACAAGUGCAAGAGUAACUGCUUGCACCUUGACGGUACCUAACCAGAAAGCCACGGCUAACUACGUGCCAGCAGCCGCGGUAAUACGUAGGUGGCAAGCGUUGUCCGGAAUUAUUGGGCGUAAAGGGCUCGCAGGCGGUUUCUUAAGUCUGAUGUGAAAGCCCCCGGCUCAACCGGGGAGGGUCAUUGGAAACUGGGAAACUUGAGUGCAGAAGAGGAGAGUGGAAUUCCACGUGUAGCGGUGAAAUGCGUAGAGAUGUGGAGGAACACCAGUGGCGAAGGCGACUCUCUGGUCUGUAACUGACGCUGAGGAGCGAAAGCGUGGGGAGCGAACAGGAUUAGAUACCCUGGUAGUCCACGCCGUAAACGAUGAGUGCUAAGUGUUAGGGGGUUUCCGCCCCUUAGUGCUGCAGCUAACGCAUUAAGCACUCCGCCUGGGGAGUACGGUCGCAAGACUGAAACUCAAAGGAAUUGACGGGGGCCCGCACAAGCGGUGGAGCAUGUGGUUUAAUUCGAAGCAACGCGAAGAACCUUACCAGGUCUUGACAUCCUCUGACAACCCUAGAGAUAGGGCUUUCCCUUCGGGGACAGAGUGACAGGUGGUGCAUGGUUGUCGUCAGCUCGUGUCGUGAGAUGUUGGGUUAAGUCCCGCAACGAGCGCAACCCUUGAUCUUAGUUGCCAGCAUUCAGUUGGGCACUCUAAGGUGACUGCCGGUGACAAACCGGAGGAAGGUGGGGAUGACGUCAAAUCAUCAUGCCCCUUAUGACCUGGGCUACACACGUGCUACAAUGGACAGAACAAAGGGCUGCGAGACCGCAAGGUUUAGCCAAUCCCACAAAUCUGUUCUCAGUUCGGAUCGCAGUCUGCAACUCGUACUGCGUGAAGCUGGAAUCGCUAGUAAUCGCGGAUCAGCAUGCCGCGGUGAAUACGUUCCCGGGCCUUGUACACACCGCCCGUCACACCACGAGAGU
rnacentral:rRNA from 1 species